rnacentral:rRNA from 1 species
AUUGAACGCUGGCGGCAUGCCUAACACAUGCAAGUCGAACGGUAACGCGGGGGCAACCCUGGCGACGAGUGGCGGACGGGUGAGUAAUACGUAGGAAUCUGCCCAUUUGUGGGGGAUAACCCGGCGAAAGCCGGGCUGAUACCGCAUACGCUCUACGGAGGAAAGCGGGGGAUCGUAAGACCUCGCGCUAAUGGAUGAGCCUACGUCGGAUUAGCUAGUUGGUAGGGUAACGGCCUACCAAGGCGACGAUCCGUAGCUGGUCUGAGAGGACGAUCAGCCACACUGGGACUGAGACACGGCCCAGACUCCCACGGGAGGCAGCAGUGGGGAAUAUUGGACAAUGGGGGCAACCCUGAUCCAGCAAUGCCGCGUGUGUGAAGAAGGCCUGCGGGUUGUAAAGCACUUUCAGAGGGGAAGAAAAAUCGGAGCUAACACCUCCGGUCUUGACGUUACCCUUAGAAGAAGCACCGGCUAACUCCGUGCCAGCAGCCGCGGUAAUACGGAGGGUGC